GCCCACUCCCCCACUGCCCCCGGUGCCACCGACCAAACAGCAGUACCUAUGCCAGCUGCUCCUGGAUGCCAUCCUGGCCAACAUCCGCUCACCCUCUUCAACCAUUCCCUGUACCGCACAAUCAUUCCAACCAUGACUGCCAUCCACAGCCCACCCAUCACGCCCCAGUGGUAUGCACCCUGAAGCACAGGCUUGAGGACGAUGAGCAGCAGAGCAUCCCCAGCGUGCUCCAGGGCCUGGUGGCCAGGCUGGAGCCCAAGUGCAUGAUAAACCUGGACCCUUCUCACUGCAGCAACAAUGGCACUGUCUGCCUGAUCUGCAAGCUGGGCGAGACCUCCCAAGUGUGCCACCAUGUGCCCACCCACUACCCUACCCAGAGUCCACUGUGGAUGGACCGGCAGUGGCUAUACAGCACCAACCCCUUCCUCAGGUCAGUGCACCGCUGUGUGACCUCCAAGCGGCCACAGCUCCCAGACAAGCACUCGGUUACCACCUUGCUCAACACCUGUGCCCGGAGCAUCCACAAGGCCUGCCUCUCAGCUGCA
rnacentral:lncRNA from 1 species